rnacentral:misc_RNA from 1 species
AAUUCUCAAUCUCUACAACUUUUGUUGUUAGCAGGUUGGAUGUGGGGGCUUUUAUUGUGGGCGUUACAACCCACUCCCCUGAAAUGAAUUAGCUGGAAUGCCUCGGCAAAUCCAACUAUCAGUGUGAUAAAUAUCUACUGUGGUUGUUGCUUUUUGAGGGUAUCUGCUUCUCAACUGUCUGCAAAGACAACUUGAAUCA